rnacentral:snRNA from 1 species
GUGAUUACUUUACAAGCACAUACACUAAAAUUGAAUGAAACAGAGAUUAGUGUAGCUCCCGAGCAAGAAUGACACACCAAUUUGUAAAAUACUCCAUUUUCAC